ACUCUAGGGAAAGAUGGUGACAAGGGGUUUAGGGGGACAGAAAUCUAGUUUCUAGGGAGCACUAGCUCAGACUUUUCCAGCACAAAGGUUUAUUUCAGUGAUUUUGCAGGUCAUGAAUGAGACACCCUUUCAGGAAGAAACAAACUAAGAUCAUAUUUGCAUGCUUUGAGAAUAGUUCUUUGGAUUAAAAUAAAGAUAGCUAGAGGAUCACAAGUAUUCAAAUAGCUUUGUUUAUACUAAAGAACAUUUGUUUUAAAGAGCUAUAGGGAGAACUUGAGAGCAUGUGUAAAAGAGGAAGUAACACCAAAGCCCUCAGCUUGCCCGGAACUGGAAACUCUAUUCAGGGUCUCAGCAUUGUAUUUAAGAUGAUAUGGGAUGAAGACUGGAGGUGUGAGGAAGAUACAUAACAGAAGUCUCCUGAAAAGCAACCCUAUGAGGGAGAGGAAGGACUGGAUACAGGUGAUGACUCAAACCAGCUUUGACAGAUAUGACAAUUUCCUGCAAUAUCCCUCUUGAAUGC